GAAAUGCGAUAAGUAAUGUGAAUUGCAGAAUUCAGUGAAUCAUCGAAUCUUUGAACGCACAUUGCGCCCGCCAGUAUUCUGGCGGGCAUGCCUGUUUGAGCGUCAUUUCAACCAUCAAGCCCCCGGGCUUGUGUUGGGGACCUGCGGCUGCCGCAGGCCCCGAAAACCAGUGGCGGGCUCGCUGUCACACCGGGCGUAGUAGAUUUUUCGUCUCGCCCAGGGCGUGCUGCGGGUUCCGGCCGUUAAAAAGCCUCUCUUUUAACCCAAGGUUGACCUCGGAUCAGGUAGGAAGACCCGCUGAACUUAAGC
rnacentral:misc_RNA from 1 species